rnacentral:rRNA from 1 species
AAUGAACGCUGGCGGCAGGCUUAACACAUGCAAGUCGAACGAUUAAAGCACCUUCGGGUGUGUAUAAAGUGGCAAACGGGUGAGUAACACGUGGGAAUAUACCUUUUAGUCUGGGACAACAGUUGGAAACGACUGCUAAUACCGGAUGUGCUCUACGGAGGAAAGAUUUAUCGCUAAAAGAUUAGCCCGCGCUAGAUUAGCUAGUUGGUGAGGUAAUGGCUCACCAAGGCAACGAUCUAUAGCUGGUCUGAGAGGAUGAUCAGCCACACUGGGACUGAGACACGGCCCAGACUCCUACGGGAGGCAGCAGUGAGGAAUAUUGGACAAUGGAGGAAACUCUGAUCCAGCCAUGCCGCGUGAGUGAUGAAGGCCUUAGGGUUGUAAAACUCUUUCAGUAGGGAAGAUAAUGACGGUACCUACAGAAGAAGCUCCGGCUAACUCCG